UCUCUACUACAUUUCGUCUA
rnacentral:siRNA from 1 species